rnacentral:lncRNA from 10 species
AUUUACUGUGAUUAGGGGCUGUGGGGCGCCGCACGCUGCAGCUAACAUCUGCUUCACCUCAACUAACCCAGCAGCAGCGGGACGGCGGUGCUAGGUCAAUCUUAACGUGACUAAUGCACAGAGGGUAGGAGUCUAGCCGAGGCGCCAUGGGGCGUUGCAUCAGCAGGACACUUGUGAGAGCUUUGUGUCGCUUCUCACUCCUCAAAGCCCCCUCAGGAGCACCCAGUCCUCAGCUGCUCUCUUAGGUGGGGGUCAGAGGUGGGGAUAGAGCUGCACAUUCUUGCAGCAGAUGUGUGAUGAAAGCAUCUUCUAAGCCCUGCGCACCCGUGGGGAAACCCAAGGGAGGAGUCCUGGUCCUGCUCCCUCAGCACCCAAAAGGGGCAGAACCUGAGUUGAGACUUGCAUGUUCCUCGCAUGUGUCUAAUGUCAGCACUAGAAAGCAGUUUUAGGAGGUUCCAGCCUGCAGCAUAGGUACGACCUCAGAGGAUGGCUUUGCACUUGGCAUAGUUUCAUGGAAAGGAGUACGUUGUAGUUUAUGCAGUAUCUGACUGCAAAUCAUAUUCAGGAAAGAAGUGCAGAAUUUCUUCCCCAAGCCCAGAGAAGAGCAGCCCUGAGCCCCUGUAUUCUGCUGGCCAGACACACAUGGCACAGACACAGCUGACCAUAACCCAGGAAUCCAGAGCUCGGUUUCUCAUUUCUGAGAUCAGGAUGCUUGUAUAGUGGCCUGUGAGGUGACAGAUUGGCAGGGCCCAAGGCCCCAGGUUUUCAUUUUUCAUGAGAAAAGCUUUCCAAGUGCCUGGCCAGACCUUGGUCCUUAGUGCAGAGCCCGUCCUUUUGUACUUGGGGUGACCCCAGCAGCCAAUUAUCCGGCCUUCCAUAGGGGGUUCAGUCCCAAAGACAUGGGGCUUUGAAAACCCUAGCCUGAAGUCUGAGCCACCAAGGGCUUGGCUGGGUUGGACACCCACAGGUGUAUCCAGAGCCCAGCCCGGUGCUGGGAAAGCUUUGCAUAGGGCCAGGGCCACUUGUCAGGAUUCACAGGUAGGAGAUGUUUAGGUCUCUUUAUUUAGUGCAAUCUGGGGGAUGGCAACAGAGAAAGAGGAAAGGUAGCUGUAGGGUUCUCCCAUUUCCAGAGGCUCCAUCCACACCUGCCUUCCCACAUUCUGAGCAGAACUUUUCUCAGUACUUUUUUCCCGAUCACCCUGUGGGACCAGCUGGACCUGAGGCUGCAGUCUUCUCUCCUGCAGGCUGCUUGCCUUGUCUCUCAUGCGGAAGAGGCAUUCGAGUUACCUGGUGAGAGACCGUGUUGCCCCCUCCCACAGCUCUCUGCCCUGCGCGUUCUUCCCUUUGGUGCCGAGUAUGUUUCGGUCCCCUCCAGACUCCAGGACACGCCCAUCUGUAGAGUAGCUGCCAGGAGGACUUGGCCACCCGGCCCUGUCACACUGCAGCCCCUUCCCCUUCCCUCUCGUGGCCCACAAGGAGGAAGGAAGGGCAACCUAAAAGCCCACUUAGAAACUUUUUGGAUAUGCCACUGCAAUUCUUUUCAAAAUAGCAUUCCCCAGGUUUUUAAUGGGAGGAAAAAAAGCUUUAAUGUUGAGCAUGCUGCGAGCUGCUGCGUGGAAAGGCCUCUGUAUGGGCCGAAGACCCUUCUUCCCUGGCUGCCAGGCUCGCCAGGAGCCCACUGGAAACGCCCACCACGGGGGCUCCUUGUUACACAUGUUCUUUUUUUAUCCGAUCAACCUGUGCACUUUUGAUAUUUUGAUAUUAUAUUUGCUUCCUUAAUUCCUCGCGUAGAGACGGUCUCAGGUGCCGUGGUCUAUGCUCGUGGUCCUGUAGCUGUCCGCCUCAGCUCCCACCGUGUUUGUCUGGUGUCAGCACGAGGCAGAGCUGUGUGCUCCAUAGCGUGUAGCUUUAGACUCGGAGAUGAGUGCUUUGACCCAGCGAGGAGCUCAGCUAAGUGUAUCCACGCUGUGGUUCAGCAGCCUUUAGAUCAUACGGCAUUGUGGUUCAUGUUUGAAAUUACAGAUUUUAAAUGCCAUGUUCAUUAAGAAAUCCAGGGUAUUCAGAUUCUGGGGUUUUUCAUAUUGUAUUAUUAUUAUUCUUAGGAAUAGUUCAAUGUAACAAGAAGAAAACUUGACCUUUGCUCUGGUUAAAACAGUAAUAGGCACUUGAAAAAAAAAGAUAAAUUAUUGAAUGAGUAGUAUUACCUACAAAUUCCAGAAUUUUCUGGGUUUUAGGACGUUGUGAAGCAUGACUGAUUAACAGAAUUUUAUACAACUGUACCAAUAAAAUUCCAAAUUGGAAUUGUUUUGUUACUCUGGUUGUUGUGCCAAAUUGUGGUACACUUAGAAAAUUCUACAGUCGUCGAUUUUUAGGGUGUUCUCUUUCAACACCUUUUUGUUAGUAAUCAUUGCCAGUAGUGCCUUCAUCAGUUAAGGGAGGUGUCCCAGCACAGAUCAUUCUCAAAAGCGAGCAGGGAAGAGCUAGUGGGCAUGCUGAAGGCCAGCGUGGACAGCAGGUGAGGCAGGUGCUCCUCACACCCAGACCUGGGCAUCUUCAUUGAGGGAAAGAAAACAGUCAUUGUGCAAAAUUCUGUUAGUCAGUGAUUCUUUACUUGCAAAUUCAGGGGCUUAGAAAAUGAAAGCAAACACAAAACCUUGAGUGUGCUUUGGGAACCAAAUGGACCUUCUGGGACAAGCUGAGCAAGCUGUAUGAACGCCACGUUUGUGAAGAGCUGAGGGUAUCAGGAGGGCCGACGCUGUGUUGGCAUGCGCAGUAGGGGAUGAGGGUUAGCCAUAGUAUUCUUUGCAAAUGUGAAAGCGAGACAUUAUAUCUUCUCUUGCUUGGUGUAACUAAUCACUGUUAAUUUCAGGAAACAGAACUCAUUAAAACUCCUUAGCAAACCAGGUCUACAUCCUGUUUUGUUUGCUGAGUGAGGUUAGUGGGAGUGGUCAAAUUGGUACUCUUGGAGGAAGAAAAACUGUCCUUCCUUCUCCAAAAAAGGAAAAAUUAUAAUAAUAUAAAUGACAAAAAUAAAAGAAUUCUGUUUCCUGGAAUAAGCAUUUCUUAUUCCUAGUUGUAGGGACUCCUAUUUUUACCUUCCGUUACAGUGUUGAUUCAUAAGAAAUAUUGUUACAUUUGAGAUAACUUCAUCUGUAUGGGGUAUUUAUUUGCAAUGAUGUCUGAGUACUGUAUUUUUUCUGUGCAUUACCUUAGUGUCAGAAUGUUGGUCUUUAUUUUAAAGUCAUAUGCAUGUUCUCCUGCCAAGGAACCUUUACACAGACCCAAACAAAAAAAUAAUAAUCAAAUGCCUUCAAUUUCUGAGAAAAUGAGGCAGAGCAUGGAAAAGGAAUAGGAAGGAGAAAUUAAUUGAGAUUUUCAGGACACAGACAUAUGAUGUGAAUGCCUACAAAGCCAGUGCGCAUAGGAACAGUGGGCCUGGGUAAAGAGUCACAUUGGUAGGACCAAUAAAGAAUAAUAAAAAGACAAA